GCGAGCGUCUCGUGGACAAAAGGCUCGUGGGGAGACGCGCGCUGAUUGGCUGAUUGGGCGGAGGCGUCUGAGACCUCCGCGGCUACAACAGAUGGACCAGCCCGGGUCCGUGGACCAACAACCGGCCCACAGCCCGAGACGCUGCGCCGCCGACCUCCAAUUUAACGCCGGGCUCGGAGCGACAUUGGCGGGGUAGAGAAACACGAAGACGCCCUUUUCGGUGUUGCCUAAUUAGACCAAGGCGGAAACCACUGAAGCUUCCGACGUCGUCGCAUUUCGUGCCUCUCAUGCUGUCUGGCCAUGGACGACAUACACAACGGGGUUCAGAUCGGAGAGAACAAGUUCAUCAGCAAGGCAACCAUUCUCUCACAUCUAAAGACGUACAACCUUUACUAUGAAGGACAAAAUCUACAGCUCAGACACAGAGAGGAAGAGGGCGAGCUGAUCGUUGAAGGCCUAUUGAACAUCUUUUGGGGCCUGCGUCGUCCAAUCAGGCUUCAGAUGCAGGACGACCAUGAGCGGAUACGACCGCCUCCCUCCUCCACAUCCUGGCACUCAGGUUGCAUUCUGGACAGUCAAGGCUCCCCAAACAGCACAGACAGCCAACAGACGCCACACAUGACUGUGCCCACUUUGGAGGUGACCUCUCCCGACAACCAAUCAGAGAACGGUGUGAUGGAGGAGCACACAGAAGAAGAGGACAGUGAAAACUCAGCUCAGCUCCUCAGAACCAAAAGUGACGCCGGUGUUCUAAGGCGGGUCCACCGGCGCUCCCCGAGCGACCAGAGGAAGAUCCGGCGCCAUCGCUUCUCCAUCAACGGACACUUCUACAACCACAAGACAGCCGUGUUCACUCCUGCUUUUGGCUCUGUGACCAACGUACGCAUCAACAGCUGCAUGACAACUCCUCAGGUGCUACGAGUUCUUCUCAACAAGUUUAAGAUUGAAAACAGCCCCGAUGACUUUGCACUCUACCUCGUUCAUACUAGUGGAGAGCGUGCAAAGCUGAAACGCAGCGACUUCCCACUGGUGUUGAGAAUAAUGCAGGGCCCAUGUGAGCAAGUGUGUAAGCUGUUCCUCAUGGAGGAGGAUCUAGGAGAAGAAGUCACCUAUGAUGUGGCGCAGUAUAUCAAGUUUGAGAUGCCGGUCCUGCAGAGCUUCGUCACCAAGCUGAAAGAAGAGGAGGACAGAGAGGUGCAAAAACUGAGGAGAAGGUACAACAUCCUGCGCUGCAUCAUAGAGAAGCAGCUGGGCUGUCUGCCAGAAGCAGCCUCGUGUAUGUGAACUAGCAACUAUUAUCCGGGGGAACUUUGUAGGUGAAGGUUUACAUUGUGUGUGGACAUUUUACAACACAGUGAUUGUUUUAUGCUAGUUAUUCAUUUUAAGCACAUGCAUUAAGUCAUGCUUUGAGUCAAGUGCCUGAUAAAAACACAACAAGCAAUGAUCACAUGAUCCCUACAUGAAAGUUUUACAUGUAUAAGCACAAAGGUGGGGGGGACACAAAGGCGAUGAGCCUUAAUUAUCUCCCACAAUGCACUGUGUUCCAUGCUUGUGUUAAAUUGGUAACCAAAUGGACUCAAUUGGUUUUACAGCAGACAUAUUAAGCCCUUCGCGGACAUCAGCCCAGCCUGCAUGUUCAGUUCAACACUUGGGAGAGACUAACAUUUAUGCAACAGAGUGCUAAAAACAGCAGAAAACUCCCGACAAAAAGAAAGAUCUGUGACCAGCUUUUUUGCAGUACAUUCCUAAAAACAGCAGUGGGCUGAGAACCGGGGUCAUCUGCAGCGGACAUUUGUGGUUCGCAUAACAGGGACUAUUUCUUCCUGAAGUGUGUAACUCUGACCAAAAACAAAUAUCUACUGCAGAAGAUGCUGAUUUUCAGGACAAUAGAGAAUAUUUUAUUACCAUUUUUGUAGCAGAUUCUUUAAAAACAGAUUGGGGUUCGUCAUAGAAAAUGUUGGACUGGUAGUUUCCUAAUCCUAAAAACAGCUGAGGGCACCUGUCGUAGAGAGCAGUGGUCUCCAACAAUUGGCCCAGGGACCGCGACCGGUCCGUGAUGUAUUUUCUACCGCAUCACACAAACAUUAAAUCAUUUACAGACGACUUAAUUUUCUCUGAAUGAACUUUUGCGUGUCCCACUAGACACCAAUAAUAUCAAAGCUGUAUAAUAAAACUCCUGAUAGGAAGUCACCAUUUGUUAUAUCUUUCUUACAAGGGACAAUGCACAGUAAUGAACAUAUACAAUGUAAAUGUGUGAGAUUGUAGCCAAAAACUAAGCAAUCUGCAGUCCAUAGCAGGUUAAUGGUAUAUAGUGUGUCAACCAUCAACCUGCCAGGGACCAUCUCAUCACAAAGAAAAAAGCCCAGGGCUCCCACUAGCUCUGCGUUAUAGUGAGUUGUAUUUAUCUGCUACGUGUGGAAGGAAGAUCCACAAAAAUAAUACAGACAUUAGACCUGUCCCAGGUGCAAAGGUUGGGGACCACUGAUAGAGAGAAUCUUUGACUUGUGUUUAUUUUUCAGUAAAUUCCUUAAAAACAGUAAAGCGCUCUUAGAAUAUAUGGAACCUUUGACUAACAAUAUUGCAGCAGACUCCUUAAAAACAGCAGAGCGGGCUCGUUUUUACUGCAGUUUCCUUAGAGGGGCAGUUUGCAACCUUUACGCAGACACCUAGAGGGUGACAAAAAGUGUUUUAAGUUUUAUAUCGCGGACUCUUACGUUUUCAGCACAUAACUACGCAUGUCUGUAACACAGCUUUGUGUGCUGUCAGCUAAUGAUAGCCAUCUGGCUCAUUAGCUAUCACUUUUUAAUGAAUAUUCUAUCAUAACUUGACUAUAAAUUGUUAGUUGCUUCUCUGGGACUGCAUGCUCCCUCAUGUAUGUGUGGAUGUGGCAACAGUGAGUGACAAAAGCCUGCACGGCAAACAAAUUCAUCGGACCAACUAGCAGAUUUUAUUUAAUAUAAUUAUUAAUCGUGAAAAACACUUCAAACAUCUAUGUUCUGUCAACCACUACUGGUAACAUAAACUAGCCAGUGGUGUGCUCGUUAUGUUUUUUGGUUUAAAAAGUAUGUAACUGAGGAAGUUGCAAACAGCCCCUUUAAAGAUGGCAGCAUUAGGCAAUGAUAAAAAGGAUUGUCCCUCUACUUAAACAUUGUAGGUUUGAUUCCAGCUGUUAUUUUCCCUUUAUGGCAUCAUACACCUUAUUAAGAAUCAUGGCCACAUUGAGUGAUGUCGUAAAAGUGCUUUGAUGGUCAUAAGGUGGAAAGAGCAUCAAUCAAACAAACAAUUGGAAAAGCACAUUAUCAUGUUGGGUGUUUGGACUGUUGUUUAGUCUGGUACAAAAAGCACAUUAACUUGUGGAAAAGAUGUGAUGCACACAGUUUACACAAUCUCACAUUGUGAGUGGAAGUAGGUCAGCGUGAGUGCGGCGCUGUUGCCAUGUUUGUGUGCGUGCUGUUGAUGAAAUAAUAUUUGCUGACUGAGACACAGGUCAACGAUCAUGUUCAAACUGUUGUCAGUGAUCCUGGGCGUGCUGCUCCUAGCCACGGUGGUACCCACCCCCGAGGCCAGACGUGGUGGAGGCUUUAGAGGGGGAGGUGGAGGCAGCAGACCGGUCUACCGAGCACCACCUCCAAGGAGCAGUGGACCCAGCACCGGUAAAAUAGCUGGAGCAGCGGCAGUGGGGGCCAUCGGAGGAACCAUGCUGGGCUCUGCCCUGAGCCGCCCCGGGUACGGCUACGGUGGAGGAUACGGAGGCUACGGAGGCUAUGGAGGUUAUGGGGGGAUCGGGGGCUUUGGAGGGGGUUACGGCUACCCGAGAGUAGCUGCUGGCCAUGCCUCCAAACCAGCGUAUGAGGCGGAGGGCUCUGGAGAUUUGGAGUACUACACUGGAGCGUCGAGUGGACGCAUCUACAGCAGCAUCAUCGUCCUUAUUGGCACCCUGCUGUCUCUGCUGCUCGGACACUGGUCGGCACUGCCAGCCAUCAUGUGAACAUGCCACUUGAUGCUCUAGCUAUAGAAGCUACACUCAACUGCACCCCCGUGUGGACACAAGGGUGAACUGCUAGAGUGACAUUACAGUAUUAGUACUUCUUAAAUAGCGUGAGGCCGCGUGAGAUCCUCGGGAACAUGCUUCACACCCCGUUUCAACAAGCUGCACUACAAAACUUACUCAAUGUAGCCAUUAAUCCUGACUUACCCAUUAUGAUUUUAAAAAAUCAGCACACAUUUUAUUAUUUUUUAUUAUUUUUGCAGGUUAUAGAAAAUGGAUGCAUGGAUGUUAUAUACUGUAUAUUUUGCUCCUGAGUUUAUUUAAUUAUAAUUAUUAGUAUCAAAGGACUUACGUCGGUCAAAAAAGUUUAUAUAGUUAAAAUAUAUAUUUUUUGAUGCACAUAAAAUAUUUUCUUUUAAACUAAAAAACAAUGUUAUUAAAGUUAUUCUUUGUUGUAAAUUGAUUGAGAUUCAUUUAUUAUUUUUCUUUAGUGUUAAGAAUAAAGUGUUAUGCAGAGAUGUACUUAUCUUAUUUUAUUGAAAAAUGACACGUGUGGGGCAACAGGAAACAAGAAUUACUGCGGUAGAUUCUCACAGCCAAUCUUCAUCUUACUACUUUGUAAUACCAUCAAUAAGAACAAUAACGCCGUGGAGCCGUUGGGAGAGUGGCCGUGCCAGCAACCUGAGGGUUCCUGGUUCGAUCCCCACCUACUACCAACCUCGUCACGUCCGUUGUGUCCUUGAGCAAGACACUUCACACUUGCUCCUGAUGGGUCGUGGUUAGGGCCUUGCAUGGCAGCUCUCGCCUUCAGUGUGUGAACGUGUUUGUGAAUGGGUGAAUGUGGAAAUAGUGUCAAAGCGCUUUGAGUACCUUAAAGGUAGAAAAGCGUUAUACAAAUAUAACCCAUUUAAUAAUAAUAAAUGUAUUACAUAUAUUGGAGUGUUUCUUCCUACGCUAUGUUGACAUUUCCAGCUCAUUUUGUCAUCUAAUAUGACCUCUAAAAUUGUUUUCAUUUCAUUAGCAUCGGUGCUUGUGUCUUUUCAACUAUAAUCAAAUAAAAUGUAACUUUUGCUUAUGACUCCGACAGCAUACUUUAUGUGCAUUUUUAUGUGUGUGUUUUUGUGCAUUUUUACCCGAAAACAUGUAGUCCCGUAAUCUGCAAAUAAUGUUUUUUUUUUGGUUUACAGAGAUGACUUAUCAAUAAUGAAUAAUCAUAUAAACCAGGGAUGUCAAACGUACGACCCGUGGGCUGGAUCUGGCCCGCAAACAGGUUUUAUCCGGCCUGCGAAAUGAGUUUGCUAAAUACAAAAAUUAGCAGUAAUUUUUUUUUUUAUGAAAAAAAUUGCUGUUCUAAAUGUGUCCACUGGAUGUCGCAAUAGCAAUUCUUUGUAUCCGCAGCCACGAGAGCGAGCGUGACUACAUGCUCACGCUGCUUAUUAGUGAUAGUAAACAAAAUGUGGAGAGUAACUUUCAUGCCAUAUUGUCAACGAUGUUGUUGGUAAUGUAACUUGUGACAUUUAUACCCAAAUAAAUGCGUUUAAUAAUCUGUA